ACAUCAGCCUGAACAUCACAAUUAUUACCACCACCAUUACCACAGGUAACGGUGCGGGCUGACGCAUACCAGAAAAAGAAAAAACUAAGCCCGCACCUGAACAGUGCGGGCUUUUUUUUC
rfam:Erwinia sp. EM595 isolate E_g_EM595 genome assembly, chromosome: 1